rnacentral:ncRNA from 1 species
ACAAGUACAUAAGUGCUUAAUUUAUUAAGCAAACUUGUUUGGUUUGUAGAAUAUUCCCAAUUCUCUUAUCGACUUGUAUUUAUUUUAGAUUUGUAGACCUUCCCAGUCUCGAAUCAAGAAUCAUUUUAAUUAUUCAGAUUUGCAGACCUUUCCCAGUCUCUAAUCGAGUUUCAUUUAAUUACUUGGAUUUGUAGACCUUUCCCAGUCUCGAAUCAAGAAUCGUUUUAAUUAUUCGCAUUUGAAGAACAUUCCCAAUCUCAAAGCGGAUACUAUUUAGAUUUGUAGACCCUUCCCAGUCUCAAGUCAAAUAACAUUUUAACAUUGUCUAUAACAGAGACAAUUUAAAGUAUUAACAUGUAAGCUAUCGUAAACAUCAUUCAAUUUAUCAUUAUAAUCGGUAAAUUCACUAAAAUUUUUUCAUAAUUAAUAACAUCCCCAAAAAUAGAUAGAGAAAUAACUGUAAAACAUUCCCUUAAUAAUAAGUUACAAAAACCGUGAGCCCCUCCCAAGCUCACGGUUUU